UAUCAUAUACUCACAGAUGGUUGCAAAAUUAUCCAGGAAUGUACAAAGUGAAAUUAAAAAAUGUGUUGUAUUUUUAAAUUUAAUUCGCGAUAUAUUUAGUAUGAAAAAUAACUAAUUUGAUAAAAUUACAAAUCGGAAUAUCAUUAAUUUACUAACUAUUCUAUUCAACACUACCAAAUUUAAGUCUACGAAAAAGAGAAAUGUUAAUUAAUUCCGAUAAAAAAAAGUUAUGUUUGUGUAGUGAAAAGUGUUGAUUUGUUGUUACUCAAACGAUAUUUCAAUUACCGACUUCAUAUAAGUGAAUUAAAAAAAUAUAUAUUUAUUUUAGAAAAAAAUUUAACGUUUAAUUUUUUAUCGACUUUUAUAUUUUUUGAAGGGAUUUUUAGAAUCAACAGGAGCGACCAUUUUUUGCAAAAGCAUUUUAAUUGUCAGACCAGAAGGUGGAGCAAACUCGUCUUUGACGCCGAUCGAUUUGCGUCAGGCUAAGACGCAGUACACUACGACGUUUGAUCUUAUGAUUUUUCAUAGGAAUUAGUAAAAGUUAAUAGUUAGCUCUUAUCAACGAUGUUUGUAUAGAGACGCCAUAAAACUAACAUGAAGGGCCAGUAGGGGAUUUUAUAACUACGGGUGAGAAGAGAAAGGGAACAGAAUGAUGCCGGCUGGUAAGCAGAUGGCUGUUCCGUUUAUUGGUUUAUUCGUCGGUAACGGCGAUGUGUUGCGCCCGAAUAAAGUUUUUUAAGUGUGUUCGAGGAUGAAUUCUAUGAUGGUGUACAAAUCUACUGAUUUAUAUCAAUGAAAAAAGUUACUAUGGUUUAACGUCAGUCAUUGCGAAAACCAUCGAUAAAUUCACCAGUUAAACGCAGAGAUUCAAGAACCAGAAAAAACCAUCAAUGGAAGCGCAAAGUGAAAAAUAAACGGAGAAAUGAAUUUGAAAGUUUGGGAAAUCAAAUCAUAUUUAAAUGGUGAAUAGAAUGGUAGCAUCCCAGUUGCUCAGCGUCAGCAUCAUUUUAUUUAAUCUAGAAUGAUGGCGCUAUGUGGACGAAGGCCGAUCAAUAAUACGUGAAUGUAAAAGACACUAUAACUGGAUGAUCUAAAAAACAGCAAAGUCACGAGCGUAAACAUGAAUACAAGAACGAAAGAAUAAUACCGCUAUAAAGGAGCGCACAUGAAUUGGCAGGAUGAGCUGCGUCAUGUUUGACCCGUUAACAAUAGGUUGAUCUUAGAUUCAAAGUCAAUCGAAUGCUGUCAACGAUAGUGCAAGUGAAAUGAUAUAUAUACUGUUGAGAUAGUCCUCGUUUUAAAUCACUUAUGUUCAAAAAUGAUUUAUGAACUAUAAAAAAAGUGGGAAAACUAUAUUAGAAUGUUGACUACAUUCUAAAAAAUAAUGAUUGUGUCAAGUGAUUAAUCCAACAAAUAAUGAUGAAGAUUUUCUUUUUCAUUCUCAUAAUAGCAUUUUUUGCUACUGAACUAGAGGCAUGCAAAAGUUUAGGCGAUGAUUGUAACAAAAUUUUUUAUGGUUGUUGCGAUCCUUGGUAUUGUACUAAUUGGUUUGGAAGGGGAAGAUGUGUCGAAGGUUAACCAGUAACGCGAAGCCCGUAUGCAGAUGCUAACAGUCUUGCGACACUUACAGAAUAAUGCAAAAAAGAGGACUUGCAGGAAAUAAAUAAUUAACGAAUAUAAAUUUUAUUAAAUUUCCUUUAAUAAUAUUCAUCAAUAGCUUUUUUUUUUAAUUAUUGUACAAUAUUUUAAUUAUUUACUUUUUAAGAACUCUAAGUAUCUUAUAUUCGUAUCAGUUAAAAUUAAAUGUGACUAAAUUCUA